CUUUUACAAUGAAGAGUUUGAUCCUGGCUCAGGAUGAACGCUAGCUACAGGCUUAACACAUGCAAGUCGAGGGGCAUCAGGAAGAAAGCUUGCUUUCUUUGCUGGCGACCGGCGCACGGGUGAGUAACACGUAUCCAACCUGCCCUUUACUCGGGGAUAGCCUUUCGAAAGAAAGAUUAAUACCCGAUGGCAUAAUGAUUCCGCAUGGUUUCAUUAUUAAAGGAUUCCGGUAAAGGAUGGGGAUGCGUUCCAUUAGGUUGUUGGUGAGGUAACGGCUCACCAAGCCUUCGAUGGAUAGGGGUUCUGAGAGGAAGGUCCCCCACAUUGGAACUGAGACACGGUCCAAACUCCUACGGGAGGCAGCAGUGAGGAAUAUUGGUCAAUGGGCGCUAGCCUGAACCAGCCAAGUAGCGUGAAGGAUGAAGGCUCUAUGGGUCGUAAACUUCUUUUAUAUAAGAAUAAAGUGCAGUAUGUAUACUGUUUUGUAUGUAUUAUAUGAAUAAGGAUCGGCUAACUCCGUGCCAGCAGCCGCGGUAAUACGGAGGAUCCGAGCGUUAUCCGGAUUUAUUGGGUUUAAAGGGAGCGUAGGUGGACUGGUAAGUCAGUUGUGAAAGUUUGCGGCUCAACCGUAAAAUUGCAGUUGAUACUGUCAGUCUUGAGUACAGUAGAGGUGGGCGGAAUUCGUGGUGUAGCGGUGAAAUGCUUAGAUAUCACGAAGAACUCCGAUUGCGAAGGCAGCUCACUGGACUGCAACUGACACUGAUGCUCGAAAGUGUGGGUAUCAAACAGGAUUAGAUACCCUGGUAGUCCACACAGUAAACGAUGAAUACUCGCUGUUUGCGAUAUACAGUAAGCGGCCAAGCGAAAGCAUUAAGUAUUCCACCUGGGGAGUACGCCGGCAACGGUGAAACUCAAAGGAAUUGACGGGGGCCCGCACAAGCGGAGGAACAUGUGGUUUAAUUCGAUGAUACGCGAGGAACCUUACCCGGGCUUAAAUUGCAGUGGAAUGAUGUGGAAACAUGUCAGUGAGCAAUCACCGCUGUGAAGGUGCUGCAUGGUUGUCGUCAGCUCGUGCCGUGAGGUGUCGGCUUAAGUGCCAUAACGAGCGCAACCCUUAUCUUCAGUUACUAACAGGUCAUGCUGAGGACUCUGGAGAGACUGCCGUCGUAAGAUGUGAGGAAGGUGGGGAUGACGUCAAAUCAGCACGGCCCUUACGUCCGGGGCUACACACGUGUUACAAUGGGGGGUACAGAAGGCAGCUAGCGGGUGACCGUAUGCUAAUCCCAAAA
rnacentral:rRNA from 1 species